rnacentral:snRNA from 1 species
CGAUACAGAGAUUAGCAUGGCCCCUGCACAAGGAUGACACGCAAAUUCGUGAAGUGUUCCAUAUUUUU